rnacentral:snoRNA from 1 species
AACAGUGUCGCUAUGCGUCUCCACUUUUACAUGUGGUGCCACGGUACGAAACACGUGUGAGAU